CGAUAUCGCAUUUCUACAUUCUGGAAGGUGAUUCGUCCUUCUUGGGGCCAACAGGAAGCAGGAGAGGAGGGGCCUGUGAUCUGCCGAGGACCUUCACUUUCUAGAUUCUAAAUAAACAAGACCAUGACAGGAGCCUCACGGUGAACUGAAACAACCCAGUCAACUGGAUAUGACAGAAGAAAGAAUACAGACAGUUAAUAAGAAUAACUACACUAGAUCCUUCCUUCAAUUGCACUCUUGUGCAUGUGAGAGCUCUCGAAGCAGCGCACCUGUACGGCGUAGGAGAUGGCGAGUCCGGCAUAGGCGGGAGGAAUGUG